rnacentral:rRNA from 1 species
AUUGAACGCUAGCGGGAUGCUUUACACAUGCAAGUCGAACGAGUGGCGGACGGGUGAGUAAUAUAUCGGAACGUGCCCAGUAGCGGGGGAUAACUACUCGACAGGGUAGCUAAUACCGCAUACUAUUGGAUGCGCCGCGAUGGGAUUAGCUAGUUGGUGGGGUAACGGCUCACCAAGGCAACGAUCCGUAGCUGGUUUGAGAGGACGACCAGCCACACUGGGACUGAGACACGGCCCAGACUCCUACGGGAGGCAGCAGUGGGGAAUUUUGGACAAUGGGGGAAACCCUGAUCCAGCCAUCCCGCGUGUAUGAGAAGGCCUUCGGGUUGUAAAGUACUUUUGGCAGAGAAGCGGUAUCUGCAGAAUAAGCACCGGCUAACUACGUGCCAGCAGCCGCGGUAAUUC